ACGCUCGACACCUACGGGGCAGCAGUAGGGAAUCUUCCACAAUGGACGCAAGUCUGAUGGAGCAACGCCGCGUGAGUGAAGAAGGUUUUCGGAUCGUAAAGCUCUGUUGUUGGUGAAGAAGGAUAGAGGUAGUAACUGGCCUUUAUUUGACGGUAAUCAACCAGAAAGUCACGGCUAACUACGUGCCGGCAGCCGCUAGUAAUCUGAGGCGGGCGUGGACGAAGGC
rnacentral:rRNA from 1 species